CCCCUCCCCCUCUCCCGGUUUUGGUGAACACCCUUAAUUACAUUACAUAUAUGCAAUAAAAUCACAGUAUCCAUAUCUAACCUUUAAUCAUUGAUCCACCGCCUCAAGUUCAUCCAUAUCUUUAAUCCUCUUCCAAGUGCCACCGACUACAUGUUUCCUUCCCUUAAAUCCCUCCACCAUUUAAACCUCCGACCUUCUGGAGAUUUACCACCGCCAUUAUCUUUCUUCACAACUUGUCCACCUAAUCGAAUCAAUUGGCGUCUCAAAGCCCUAGAGACAAAAUGAGAGAGAUGAAGGAAAUAAAUGCGUCUUUGCUACUGUUGGUCAGUGACGGCAUCACCGGAGGGCAGGAAUGGCGACCAAUUCCUACACCGAUUGAAACCUAUGUUUUCCCAAUUUCUGCAUCUGAAUUCUUCCCCAAAAUAUAGUUUCCGUUUUCAGAUAACACGCUUCAACUAACGUUUAUGAGUUUUUUUUUUCUGUCAGCUUUUGAUUUCUCGAGGUAAUGAAGGAUGAAGGAGAAACCAUUGUUUACUUAUUCUUUACAAUUUUCAAAUAAUAUGUCUGCAUUACGUGCUCCAGAUGAUUUCAUGAAGAAUCAUAUUGAUGAAUGUUCAUCGGUAUAUCAUACUUGGUGGGAUGAGUUGCUGUGAGACAAAACCACAUUCCAUCUAUAUGAAGAAUCUUUUGUUGAGGUUAUCAAAUAUAAGUAGUGGAAUCAAUGGUAUGCUUUCUUAAAAUUCUGAAGUUUUUCGUGCUAUGUUUCCAGAUUCAGCCUUUAGUAGCAAGAUUGUCAUGUAUUUGUAGAUAACGACUUUUCAAAAGUUGAAAAGUGACAUUAUUCAAUCAUAUAUGGGCUCUGUAGAGCUCAUUGAUUUGUAGAAGCAAUUAGAGUAUUGGCAGGUACGGAAGAAAGAGGUACCCCGCCUGAUGUUUUUGCUAUAAUUCACUUAUAAUCGGUCUUUGUAAAUAAAAAAGAUGGAAGAAGUGCAUUCAAUGUUAAUUCAAAUGAAGAAUAAUGGUGUUAAACCAAAUUAUUUUCUUUAUUGCAAGAUAUUGCCCUUAUCACAGGUGAUUGUUUCCCAAUUUAAAUAUUCAUAUACGAUUACGCUUUUAUGGUCAUGUAUGUAUAAUCAGUAUCAAUAUUAGAAUGCAAUUGGCGAUGGAUUUCUAGCUUAACAGAUAUGAUACACUGUUGCAUGCCAUAAUUUGUUACAUCCUUUCUAAAGAGAUGAUUAAAUGGUGGGUUCCUUUAAGUUAUGAAUAGUUAAUUUUAUAUUAUCUCAGUAAUCUCUUACAAUAACUUCUUACUUGGUUUUGAUAUCUAAUGUUUUCAGUGAUUAAUUAUAAGAAUGUCUAUCAUUUAUUCAUAUACCAGUUGUGUUUCUUCUGUAUGGAUGUUGGUUAGAUGAAUUUUGACUUUGACUUUAGGUUAGGUGAAAGUGAGACUCUUUUGUAUCUUUAAUUCUUUUAAAUCAUGUGCUCACACGAUAUGGCAUUUCUUUUGUUUUCUCAGAUGGUUGACAAUACAAAAUUAUUGAAAGAAAAUUAAAAUCUUACAUCGGUGAGAUAUCGGGUGUUUUCAUAAAUGUGUUUUCAUACAUGGUAUGGAACGUACUUAUGAGUUUUCCUUCUUUCCAUGCUAUAGAAUACCACAAGUAACUAGCGUUUAAACUAAAUUUUUUUGAAAAUAACACAAAGCCGACCAACCCGCCCGAUAAUUGGAUAAGCGUACCCUUCUAUAAUUUCCUAUUUGACAACAUGUCAUGUUUGGGACUUUAAUGUUUUUUCUUUGCUGCAGAUCACUAUCAUCCCAAGCCAAGGUGUUCCAACCUCACACAGGCCACAUUUUGACAAGGGAAGAACAUUCAUAUAGAGCCACCACAAGAGAAGUUCCCUACUUGUUGGUUUGUGCACACCUAAAGAUUCUAAAUCGCCAUGUAGUUUCUACAAAAGUGGAACCAAAUCAUAUGAGUUUAGGGCAUGUGUUUUAUAAAUAUUAAUGGGUAUGUUUAGAAAUUUCUGUGCACACCUAAAGAUUCUAAAUCGCCAUGUAGUUUCUACAAAAGUGGAACCAAAUCAUAUGAGUUUAGGGCAUGUGUUUUAUAAAUAUUAAUGGGUAUGUUUAGAAAUUUCGGAAGAUAUUUUUGUUUUAAAUAUUUCGAAUCUUGUAAGACAAGAUAAAUUUUAAUUCAAGUAAUGUUUUAUGUUUUCUA